rnacentral:tRNA from 1 species
GCCGAUUUGGCAGAAAUAAAGUGCAUUGAAUUUAGGAUUCAAAAAUGGUGAAAUCCAUUCGGUU